GUGUUACAAUUUCUGCACCCAAAACAAAUCUAAAGCUAAAAUAAAAAACGAAAUCAACUCGCCAACCAAAUCACCGUGAGACAGCUUCACCUCGCCAGCCAAAUCACCGUGAGACAGCUUCACCUCGCCAGCCACCGCGCAAUCGAAAAAGCUUUGCUCGCCAGCCACCGCGCGACAGCUUCUGAUCUGCUCACCAGCCACCACGCGACGGCUUCUGGUCUGCUCGCCAACCACUGCACAUCAUUUUCUGCUCUGCUCGCGCAGCCAGCCACCGUGCACCAGUAGGAGUAA
rnacentral:lncRNA from 1 species